AAUGAACGUUGGCGGCGUGGAUUAGGCAUGCAAGUCGUGCGAUAACCCCGCAAGGGGGGAAAGCGGCGAAAGGGAGAGUAACGCGUGGGUACCUGCCCCUUGGUCCGGAAUAGCUGCGGGAAACUGCAGGUAAUGCCGGAUAACAUCCUCGGAUCAAAGGUGUGAUUCCGCCGAGGGAGGGGCCCGCGUUCUAUUAGCUAGUUGGUAGGGUAAUGGCCUACCAAGGCAACGAUGGAUACCGGGUGUGAGAGCAUGACCCGGCUCACUGGGACUGAGACACGGCCCAGACUCCUACGGGAGGCAGCAGUGGGGAAUCUUGCGCAAUGGGCGAAAGCCUGACGCAGCGACGCCGCGUGAGGGAUGACGGCC
rnacentral:rRNA from 1 species